GGGCUGGUCGAAAGACCCUGGUCCACUGUAGGCGGGGAAACCCCC
rnacentral:sRNA from 1 species